CCUACGGGUGGCAGCAGUGGGGAAUAUUGCACAAUGGGCGCAAGCCUGAUGCAGCCAUGCCGCGUGUGUGAAGAAGGCCUUCGGGUUGUAAAGCACUUUCAGCGGGGAGGAAGGCGUUAAGGUUAAUAACCUUGGCGAUUGACGUUACCCGCAGAAGAAGCACCGGCUAACUCCGUGCCAGCAGCCGCGGUAAUACGGAGGGUGCAAGCGUUAAUCGGAAUUACUGGGCGUAAAGCGCACGCAGGCGGUCUGUCAAGUCGGAUGUGAAAUCCCCGGGCUCAACCUGGGAACUGCAUUCGAAACUGGCAGGCUAGAGUCUUGUAGAGGGGGGUAGAAUUCCAGGUGUAGCGGUGAAAUGCGUAGAGAUCUGGAGGAAUACCGGUGGCGAAGGCGGCCCCCUGGACAAAGACUGACGCUCAGGUGCGAAAGCGUGGGGAGCAAGCAGGAUUAGAUACCCGGGUAGUC
rnacentral:rRNA from 1 species